GUGGUGGUUGUCAUCGUAAUUUUUAUAGCAUAAAAAGAGAAAAUUUGAGAGUAUUUUGAACUUGGUGAAUAAAAAUAGGAGCAUUUGCUUAUAUAUUCUUCAAAAAUUUCUUAUUUCUUAUUUAUCCUUCUUGAAAAGCUAAUAUUAAAAAUAUCUUUUUAAAAUUUCAAAGUCUUUCAAAUAUAUUAUAAUUAAAUUCUGUGUUAGUGAACUAUUAGAAACAGUCGUUAUCUCUAUAAAAUUAUCAUUUUGCCCUUCAAAUAUAUCCUUCUAUUAUCACUAAUAUUUUUUAUUUGCCUUAAGUUAAGGACAAAAAAUAUAUUUUGAUCUUUUACCUUUUCAAAUAUAUACUUUUGUCGUUGCUAUUUUUUUUUUAUUUGCCCUUAAGUAAGGAGUAAAAUAAAUAUUUUUAAUAUUUUCUAGUUAUGGUAAAAAUUUAACUCGGAUUUAGUCCGAGAUGACUUAACAAACACUAACAGCAUGAAUAUUUUUAAAUAACGAAAAAAAAUAUAAAGAGUAUAUUUGAAAUUAAAAAAAAAGUAAAAAUAAAUAAAAU
rnacentral:lncRNA from 1 species